CAAAGGAAAAAUGUUUAAAAGCAUGUGAUAGUGUUAACGUCUUAGCUGCAUAUUGUCCACUUGUAUAACCUACACCUAGAAUGUCAUUCUUUGCCAAGGAGUAAUAAACCUUAAUCUUUCUUUAUCCAUCAGUCAACCAUCAGUCUUGCCAGGCUCUUUGUUUCUGCACACUGCUGCAACAUAUUUACCAAACACCAGCACGUGUUUUUGUGAAAUCUGAGUGUUGAUCUCUACAGCUGAGGGGUUUGCAGCACAAAAUCCCUUCACUAGGCCAAGCAUGUGCUUAAACUCAUUUUUCCCAGGCAGAGCCUCCCAAGUCCUGCUGGUGGAGGUCCGUUAGCACAGCAUUCUGGGUAGGUGAGAGGGCUGGUUGUUUUUUCUCUAUGUUUUGCAACUGAAAUAAGAAGACUUCUACCUCAGGGCUGUCAACCUGGCACCUGCUGCUCAUGUUGGUUUAAUGAGAAAAAGAAAGAAAGGCACAGAGUGAGGCCCAGAAAGCCUCAGCAGCACCUGCAGGCCAUGUGAAUGAAUUGGGAGAAACAGUUUUCAAGUUUGGGAAAGACGCCAUUAGGAGCAGUAGGGCCUGCAUAAUUUCCUCAGAAGCUGGAUGGUGCUGCUGGAAGUGAAAGACAGGCAAUGGUAUUUGAGGAGAAUAAGAACUGAUUGUCCCCAGCUCCCAAGCUAUCUCAGCAGCCUGAUUUAGGAGGAGCAUCUGACUGCUUCCAGAUGGCGACCUUUUCGGGUGUCAAACAUGCUGACAUAAGAGAGGAUAGAACUGGUAUUGCUUCCUGUUACUCCUUGAAAAUAAAUGCUUUUCUAACACUCCCUGGUGCUAGGGGGAGACUACCACAGGACAAGUAUACAGUUCCCUGGGGCCAGUUCUGCAGGACAGAUAAACAAUGCUUUUUCUUUUAUGACUCUCUCGGUGGAAGAGCAGAAGGGGCCAAAAUUCACUGGUGGGGGCAAAGGCCCCUGCCUCUGCUGUGUGCUGGCAGCACCCCAAAGAAAAUUAGGAGGUUGUUCUAAGACUGUAGCAAUCGAAGGGCCCUCAGAUGAGUUAUGUGACCCUGCAAUGUUGGCAUGCAAGUUUUAAAAUCAAUUUACUCUACAUGGUUAAAUUUCUAAAGACAUUUGAUAAUUUGAUAGCUCUACCAGAUUGGUUGAAAGGAAGCCUAUAAAUUAAGAAAUAAAUGAUAAGUAUGAGGAAAUCCCGGUUUUGGCUUUUUCAUUAUUCUUUGAAGGAUAUAUAUAUAUAUAUCACUCAUCUAACAACUAAGGGGAAAGGGUUUCACUUCUCCCAGUGUACGUCGGGGACAGGGAGACCUUGCAGGUUUCCUAUGCAAACCUUGGGGUGAAUGGCUUCCCCUUUGUUAAGCAGAGGUUAAAAUCAAGGGUGAAUGCAGCAUCCUAGCCUUCUGAACACUACAACAAGGAACUGGGAAUUGGUGGCACAUCUUGAAAUGAAAAAAUCUUCAAGUAGACCAACAGCCUCGGGGCAUUUCUGCAAAGUCACAGUAGAGGCUCCAAUCACAUUUCAGAUUUGGCAUGAAAGCCCCAGGCCCUUUUCAAAGUCAAUUGAACAACAUCCAAUAGAUGGAGGGGUGGUACAGCUUUGCGUUGAGAGGUGAGAGAGAGGCUGUGCUGCAGUUUGCCCCUUCUCAAUUAAAAAUGUAGGCAGGUGUGUGCAGCAGCAGAAAACACAACCUCCAAAUAAUUCCAUUAAAAAAGGUUAGAACAUUGCUGUUGGGGAAGGAAAGGGUUAAUUUUGUUGUCCUUCAAAAAAGAGAGAGAGGAAAGAACAAAAGUGGGGGGAGAGGCUAGAAUGCUAGAGAAUAUCACCUUCUUCCUUAAUAUAAACAUAAUAGUGUUUUAGGGCAUUAAAUUUGUCUGCGUGGUGCUGAUUAUGCCCACCCUGCUCAGGGAUGGCAACAGGGAUCUUGAACCAUGCUACAUAUGUUGAGGCCUGCACAUAUGACAUCAUUGACUUGUGACAGAUGCCUCUGCAAAGUGCAGUAGACCUCAAGAUCCUCAUCUCUACACCAAACGUUGCCAGCUAUCUACCCAGAGUCAAUAAGCCUGCCUUGUCCUGCACCAGGUCUUUACCCAGCACUGGGGGAUUUUGGGGCUCUGGGCCAUCCCAGAAAUCUCACCUGUCC